AGAGUUUGAUCCUGGCUCAGAACGAACGCUGGCGGCGUGCUUAACACAUGCAAGUCGAGUGCGCGGUUGUAGCAAUACAACUGGCGCACGGCGCACGGGUGCGUAACACGUGGGUAAUCUGCCCUCUGAUGGGGAAUAACCCGCCGAAAGGCGGGCUAAUUCCGCAUAAUAUUCCGAGAACCUCGGUUUUUGGACUGAAAGGCGUAAGUCGUCGGAGGAGGAGCCCGCGCCCGAUUAGCUAGUUGGUAGGGUAAUGGCCUACCAAGGCUUUGAUCGGUAGCUGGUCUGAGAGGAUGGCCAGCCACACUGGAACUGAGACACGGUCCAGACUCCUACGGGAGGCAGCAGUGGGGAAUCUUGCACAAUGGGCGAAAGCCUGAUGCAGCGACGCCGCGUGGGGGAUGAAGCUUCUCGGAGUGUAACCCCCUUUCGAUCCGGACGAAUACCUCGCAAGAGGGGUGACGGUACGGAUAUAAGAAGCCCCGGCUAACUACGUGCCAGCAGCCGCGGUAAU
rnacentral:rRNA from 1 species